rnacentral:rRNA from 1 species
GACGAGCCUGAGAAGGGCGUUCGGUGGAUGCCUUGGCGCCAGGAGGCGAAGAAGGACGUGGCACGCUGCGAAAAGCCGCGGGGAGAUGCGAGCGAUCGUUGAUCCGCGGAUGUCCGAAUGGGGAAACCCACCCUGAGAGGGGUAUCAUCAUCUGAAUUCAUAGGGUGAUGAGGCGAACCCGGGGAACUGAAACAUCUCAGUACCCGGAGGAAAAGACAUCAACAGAGAUUCCGCGAGUAGUGGCGAGCGAAAGCGGAGCAGGCCAGUGGUUUUCGUGAGAGAAGCUGAACGGUCUGGAAAGGCCGGCCGGAGCGGGUGACAGCCCCGUAGGCGUAGUGCUGACGGAAAUCCUUGAGUAGGGCGGGGCACGUGAAACCCUGUCUGAACGUGGGGGGACCACCCUCCAAGCCUAAAUACUCCCUGGCGACCGAUAGUGCACAAGUACCGUGAGGGAAAGGUGAAAAGCACCCCGACGAGGGGAGUGAAAGAGACCUGAAACCGGACGCCUACAAGCAGUCGGAGCCCGAGAGGGUGACGGCGUACCUUUUGUAUAAUGGGUCCGCGAGUUCGUGUAUCUGGCGAGCUUAAGCCGAUAGGUGGAGGCGCAGCGAAAGCGAGUCUGAACAGGGCGUUCAGUCAGAUGCAUGAGACCCGAAACCGAGUGAUCUAGCCAUGGCCAGGCUGAAGGUGGGGUAACACCCACUGGAGGGCCGAACCCACGCCUGUUGAAAAAGUCGGGGAUGAGCUGUGGCUAGGGGUGAAAGGCCAAUCAAACUCGGAAAUAGCUGGUUCUCCGCGAAAUCUAUUGAGGUAGAUCGUCGUGUGUUUACCACCGGAGGUAGAGCACCGGAUGGGCUAGGGGGGCCCAAAGCCCUACCAAACCCAACCGAACUCCGAAUGCCGGUGAGUAUAGCGCGGCAGACAGACGGCGGGUGCUAAGGUCCGUCGUCGAGAGGGAAACAGCCCAGACCAUCGUCUAAGGUCCCCAAAUCGUGGCUAAGUGGGAAAGCAUGUGGGACGGCCAAAACAACCAGGAGGUUGGCUUAGAAGCAGCCAUCCUUUAAAGAAAGCGUAAUAGCUCACUGGUCUAAUAGCUGUUCUGCGGCGAAAAUGUAACGGGGCUCAAGCCACGUACCGAAGACAUGGGUGUAGAGGGUAGUGGUCAGAAGUCAGGGUGCAGGAUGCAGGGAAGAAUGGGCAGAUGGAUGAAGGGGUGUGGCGGUUUGAAGCAUUCCGCCGGUCCUAUGAUCUGUCGCUGACGCUGCAUCGGGCCAGUCUGACAUGGCCGAAGGUCGAACAGUAUGGCGGCGUGGCCGACCAGCUGAGGCGGGCAUCGAAAUCGGUGUGCGCAUUGCUGGUGGAAGGUCAGGGUCGCCGGACGCAAUCGAAGGCGGAAUACCGGCGCUAUCUGAUGAUGGCGAUGGGAUCGGCUGACGAAGCGGGCUUGUGGUGUCGCUACGCGGCUGACUUGGGAUAUGCGCCGCGUGACGAGGCACUGGCUUGGCAGCGUGAACUGUCUGAGAUCGCGCGAAUGCUGCAGGCAUUGCGCGGGCGGCUUUCUGCAACCUGAACUCUGAUCACUGCCCUCUGCGCGGUAGCGGAGCGUUCCCUAGGCCUGUGAAGCGGUAUCCGUGAGGGGCCGUGGAGGUAUGGGAAGUGCGAAUGCGGACAUGAGUAGCGACAAGGAGGGUGAGAAACCCUCCCGCCGAAAGUCCAAGGGUUCCUGCGCAAGGUUAAUCCGCGCAGGGUGAGCCGGCCCCUAAGGCGAGGGCGAGAGCCGUAGCCGAUGGGAAGCGGGUGAAUAGUCCCGCGCCCGCCAGAAGUGACGGCCCUGAGACGCUGUAUCCCCUUAUCGGAUUGGGGGUGCGGUUGGAGGGGUCCGGGAAACAGCUCUGGCAUAUGGACCGUACCCGAAACCGACACAGGUGGACUGGUUGAGCAUACCAAGGCGCUUGAGGGAACCAUGCUGAAGGAACUAGGCAAAUUGCCCGCGUAACUUCGGGAUAAGCGGGACCUGUUCCUGGGCAACCAGGGAUGGGUGGCACAGACCAGGGGGUGGCGACUGUUUAGUAAAAACACAGGGCUCUGCGAAGUCGCGAGACGACGUAUAGGGUCUGACGCCUGCCCGGUGCCGGAAGGUCAAGGGGAGGAGUGCGAGCUCCGAACCGAAGCCCCGGUAAACGGCGGCCGUAACUAUAACGGUCCUAAGGUAGCGAAAUUCCUUGUCGGGUAAGUUCCGACCUGCACGAAUGGCGUAACGACCUCCCCACUGUCUCCAGCAUGGGCUCAGCGAAAUUGAAUUCCCCGUGAAGAUGCGGGGUACCCGCAGUUAGACGGAAAGACCCUAUGAACCUUUACUGCAACUUCGCAGUGGCGCCAGGAAGGGGCUGUGUAGGAUAGGUGGGAGGCUUUGAAGCCGGGGCGCCAGCCUUGGUGGAGCCAGCCUUGAAAUACCACCCUGCGCCUUUCUGGCGUCUAACCGCAUCCCGUCAUCCGGGAUCGGGACCCUGCGUGGUGGGCAGUUUGACUGGGGCGGUCGCCUCCCAAAUGGUAACGGAGGCGCGCGAUGGUGGGCUCAGGCCGGUCGGACAUCGGCUGUUGAGUGCAAAGGCACAAGCCCGCCUGACUGCGAGCGCGACAGCGCGAGCAGAGACGAAAGUCGGCCUUAGUGAUCCGGUGGUCCCGCGUGGAAGGGCCAUCGCUCAACGGAUAAAAGGUACUCUAGGGAUAACAGGCUGAUCUCCCCCAAGAGUCCACAUCGACGGGGAGGUUUGGCACCUCGAUGUCGGCUCAUCGCAUCCCGGGGCUGGAGCAGGUCCCAAGGGUUCGGCUGUUCGCCGAUUAAAGCGGUACGUGAGCUGGGUUUAGAACGUCGUGAGACAGUUCGGUCCCUAUCUGCUGUGGGUGUAUGAGACUUGCGAGGAGCUUUCCCUAGUACGAGAGGACCGGGAAGGACGCACCUCUGGUGAACCGGUUGUCGCGCCAGCGGCACGGCCGGGUGGCCAAGUGCGGAACGGAUAACCGCUGAAGGCAUCUAAGCGGGAAACCGACCUCAAAACCAGGUCUCGCCGAGGGCCGUGGAAGACCACCACGUCAAUAGGCCGCAGGUAUACGAGGGGUAACCCUCUCAGCCGAGCGGUCCUAAUCGCCCGAUCGCGUUCGCCCA